UUUCCUGAACCUACUGGAUGGAUGUGAGGAGCUAAAGCCAGGUUGCUGUUAAACUAUAUCUUAAGGAAACAUCUCUAAGUGAAUUGCGUUUUCUGAAGUCUGACUAAGGACAAAGCAUCAUCUUACUGGGAACUUGUUUAACCUGCCAAAAACCCUUCUGCACUCUGACUGCAAACCGUUCUGCAGCCUAGACUUGUCAUGCAAACGCCGCACGACUUCAGG